GUUAGGUUCUUGAAAUUUAAAAAAUUUGGCGGUAUUUUAGUCUAUUCAGAGGAACCUGUUUUGUAAUCGAUAGUCCACGUUGUAUCUUACUUAAAUUUGUUUUAAUAAUUUAUAUAUCGUUGUUAUAAAAUAUUUUAUAAAAAUAAUAAUUUUUGAAAUCUUAUAUUUAGGAAUAUCUCAGAUCAAGAUGUAGUUUAUGUUUAAGUUUAUAAUGGGUUACAUUUAUUUUAUUAUUGGAAAUAGGUAUGUAAUUUAUUUAUUAAAAUUGGAUUUGAUAGUAAAUUUGUAUAGAUAAAUAAAUUGAUUAUAGCUCUAAAAUAUG
rnacentral:rRNA from 1 species